AGGUCCACACAGAAAACAACAACGAAGGAACUCGACACGCACGCGUACGCACGCUGUGAUACACACAAAGGUAACCGAAAAAUAAGCGAAGCUGAACUCAUUGAUCAGCAGCACGGGAAAAGGCGGCUCUCCACCAGUUUGCGACGCCCCUCCCCUCCCUCCCCCCAAAAAAUCGCGUUUGCUUUGCUUUGUAUUUCCCACAACACUGCGUCCCCAUUCCGCCGCGUGUGGUCUGCCUGUCUCCGUUGGUGUGCAUCUGUGUGCCGCAUCUCCCUCCCCCUCCUUCCCUCUUUUAAACCCUCCUCUCUGCUACGGGUCGCUGUUUUUCUUUCUCCGUGGUGGGCUGGGGCCUUGGCGCACUCUGUAGAUCCAGAGCCCGUGUGUAUUUGUGUACGUUCUUCUUGUGCGUGCACAGGCGGACAGACCUCAGGUGCCUUCGUGCUCUCUCUCUCCCUUUCCUUGUUUCGUGCCUUUUCGCCCUUUCUGUACUUCUUCCCUUGCUUGUGCGCUGCCUUCGUACCCCCGGCUCCCUUUCCCCUUCCCUCUUUACUCGUACCAGCUUCCCUCUCCUUUUGUCUUCUGACUUUCGUCAGCCUUCUACCUCCAGUGCGCCACUCCCUCUCCCUCAUAAACGGAGACCCAACAACUGAGCAACGCACACGCAGACAAGAAAGAUAUAGACGAAAAGCAGAGCCACCGCUGUGAUCACAGCUCUUCUUUCUUCUUAACUUGGAACACGUUGCAUCGACGCGUCUACAUGUCGUCCUCGAGCGCACACAGCACUGCGCCGGCCAGUGGCACGGACGGCGCCGAGUCGAAAAAGCCGAUGACGGAUCAGAAUUCGGGUGACCUGUACCCUUUUCUGCAGGAGUUGCAGGAGGAUUUCCCAGUCAACGGCGGCGAGCUCCCCAUAGGGGAACUUCUCAUGCUGCUGAGUGCCAAAAAGCCCGAUGUGUUUGCACGCCUUGACGGAUUCUUCGAGACAGCCAGACGAGUCUCUGGCCUUGACGAGACAAUGGCGCUCAAGUGGAAGGAGAAGGGUAACGCCGAGUAUAAGAGGCGGCUGCAUCAGCAGGCAGCUCUCUCUUACACAAACGGGCUCCUGUGCGCCGAGGCGCCAGAGACGCUGGCGGUGCUGCUCAAUAACCGUAGCACAGUUUUCUUCGACGAGCAUCGCUACGCCGACGCCUGCGUCGACGCGGACCGCGCGGUGCAAUACCAGCCGACUUACUGGAAGGCGUUGCAGCGCCGUGGCCGCUCCCUCGUGGAGCUUGGCUUCACAGAGCUGGGCCAGAAGGAUAUCGAGGCCUCGAAGCAGGAGUCGAGCGAUGCCGCCAACUCGCCAGCAGAUAUGGCUAAGGUGUUUGGCGAGGCUACGAGCGGUAUUUCGGCAGCGUGCCUGCCUCCGCGCGCGCAUGUGAACGGAGAGGUGCGGAUAGAGCGAUCUGCGAAGGGGCGCGGUCUUGUAGCGGCCAGUCGGCUGACGGAGGGGCCGGUGCUAGAAGAAGCCCCGUACGCCAUUGUGGCUCGCACCGAGGCACUGCUGUCCGUAUGCUCGUACUGCCUGCAGCACAGCGCCUGUCUCUACCACGGUGACGAGUACCGGCAGCACCACCUCAAGUCACGCGGCUUCUUCUGCAGCCCGGCAUGUGCGAAGGCCGCGUGGGAGCACUACGGCCAACACGAGAGUCAUCACCCUUUCUUUCUCUGCUGCCCCAAUGAUGCGCUGCUGGCGUACCGCAUGAUUCUCGGCAUGCGCGCAUACCCGGACCUCGCGGAACUCUCCGCUUCCCCCGAGCUCGACCCUGUGACGGAGAACGACUUUGGCGCUAAUCACAUUCGCACCCUGGAAGGCAGCUUCAGCCGCGAGCUACAGUCGAACGCGGCCGUCGGCGGCUGCGAGUCGAUCGUCGCCACGAUCGGCUUCUAUGUGGGUGCGCUGACAGAGCCUGAGGCAGAGCAGCUACGCAAGGCGCAACGACAGAUUCUACUCAACGCGGUGGAUGUGACGUGCAUGAUGCGAACCACCGCUGCGCCUUCAGAAGCCAACAGCUCGACGCUUCUGCAGACAAACACGGUGGUGGCGCGCCUUGGCAAGGCGGUAUACGCAAUCGGCGCACUCUUCAACCACGCCUGCGACCCGAACUGCUACGUAUCGUUUGAGGGCAACCCGCAGGGCUCGUGUGCCCGGCUCAUCGUUCGUGCCAUUCGCCCUGUCAUGGAGGGCGAGGAACUGACGGUGUCGUACGGCGGCAUAUCAUGCUUCUCUUUCCACAGCAUGCGCCAUCGAUUGCAGACCCUGCGCGACCGCUACGGUUUUUUCUGCGGCUGCCGGUCAUGCCGCAACCAGGUCGAUGAGCCGGUGCCGACGGCGGAGAAGGAUAAGUACAUCCAGGCGUCCGACUACUAUCAGAAAGGGCGCCGCCUAGUGCGAGAGCGCAACUACGCCACGGCUGUCACAGUGCUACUGCAAAGCUAUGAGAUUGUCAUGCGGUACAUUUGCCCGCCGCCACACCCACCACAGUGGAUGCUCAUCAAGACGCACGACGCCCUCGCCCAGGCCUACUUCCACCUGGAGCAGCGAGACAAGUGCGUGGAACACUUGCAGGAGGCCCUGCGACUGAACAUAGAAAUUCACAAGAAUGACAACAGGGCGGAACUCAUCAACGAGCACACCCGUCUCGCUUUCCUCGCCGUUGGUCCUGCAGAAAAGAAGGUGCAUGCGGACAAGGCGGUGGAGCUGCUGCGCCGCUUCUACGCACCGUCGAGCAUGUUGGACCUUCAGAUAGCGUACGUGGAGUCCAGCCUCAAGGCGGAACCGGACACACCCGAGGCUGUAGCGACUGCGACGAAGACGUGACGAUGAAGCACCACGGCUUCUUUUCGCCCGCUGCACCUGACCUCUCGUCGAGAUGCAGGCGGAAAGGUGUGGGCAAAGCGGUCGCGGGGCAAAAAAAAAACGAAAGAAAAAAAGGCGAACCGCGAUGAGAGGGAUACAUCGGCAAAGGAGAGGGAAGGCUUGGCUCGGAAUGUGCCACUGAAUUGCGCAGACGACGAGAGCUGGUAGCUGUUUCGUGCCACGAGGAAAGGGAAGUUCGCGCCUCCCGCCUCCCCUUCUCCCGCCAUCACAAAGUCAAAGGCGAGAGGGAAGAUGAGCCUCGAUGAAACGCGACGGUCCGCUGCUUGCGUGUGUGUGCACCCACCCCUGUUCGAUCCUAAUUAUUUCCUUUUCUGAUGCGUUUCUUUCCGAACGCUGUCGCGCUUGUGAGCGCGGUGUUGCGUUACCUGUGGUCGCGUUCUACACUCAUCCACCCCCAUUCUUCUCUACAUGUGUCGUGUUGCUCUUUGACACGUGGAAGCACUCUGCGAGGAGCCGUAAAGGGGGGGGGAGUACACUGGAAGCUAAGGCAGCACGAGCAUGAGCACCGUCGUGCUGCGCUCCCCACUUGCCCCAUUCCACCCCGUGGAAAACUCUCUUUACAUUUUCCGUAUAAGUCGAGGAUGCAAGUACAGGUACGUCUGCGCCGAGAAUUAGGCGUGUGCAUCCCCAUAAC
rnacentral:misc_RNA from 1 species